rnacentral:rRNA from 1 species
GGAAUAUUGGGUUUAAAGGGUCCGUAGGCGGCCCUGUAAGUCAGUGGUGAAAUCUCCCGGCUCAACCGGGAAAUUGCCAUUGAUACUGCAGGGCUUGAAUUAUUGGGAAGUAACUAGAAUAUGUAGUGUAGCGGUGAAAUGCUUAGAUAUUACAUGGAAUACCAAUUGCGAAGGCAGGUUACUAUCAAUAUAUUGACGCUGAUGGACGAAAGCGUGGGUAGCGAACAGGAUUAGAUACCCUUG